CAGUAGCCACGGUAAUACGGAGGGUGCAAGCGUUAAUCGGAAUUACUGGGCGUAAAGCGUGCGCAGGCGGUUCGUUAAGUCUGUUGUGAAAGCCCCGGGCUCAACCUGGGAAUGGCAAUGGAUACUGGCGAGCUAGAGUGUGUCAGAGGAUGGUGGAAUUCCCGGUGUAGCGGUGAAAUGCGUAGAGAUCGGGAGGAACAUCAGUGGCGAAGGCGGCCAUCUGGGACAACAAUGACGCUGAUGCACGAAAGCUAGGGGAGCAAACAGGAUUAGAUACCCGCGUAGUCCCUGUCUCUUAUAC
rnacentral:rRNA from 1 species